rnacentral:rRNA from 1 species
GACGAAGGUGGCAAGCGUUGUUCGGAAUCACUGGGCAUAAAGCGCACGUAGGCGGCUUAGCAAGUCGGAUGUGAAAUCCCUCGGCUCAACCAAGGAAGUGCAUCCGAAACUGCUGAGCUUGAGUACGAAAGAGGAUCGCGGAAUUCCCGGUGUAGAGGUGAAAUUCGUAGAUAUCGGGAGGAACACCAGUGGCGAAGGCGGCGAUCUGGGUCGAUACUGACGCUGAGGUGCGAAAGCGUGGGGAGCAAACAGG